rnacentral:rRNA from 1 species
GACGAACGCUGGCGGCGUGCUUAACACAUGCAAGUCGAACGGAAAGGCCCCGUUGGGGGUCCUCUAGUGGCGAACGGGGGAGUAACACGUGAGUAACCUUCCCUUGACUUCGGGAUAACGUCAGGAAACUGGGGCUAAUACCAGAAAGGGAUCCUUUCUGCAUGGGGGGGGUUGGAAAGCUUCGGCGGUUUUGGAUGGACUCGCGGCUUAUCAGCUUGUUGGUGGGGUAGUGGCUUACCAAGGCGUUGACGGGUAGCCGGCCUGAGAGGGCGACCGGCCACAUUGAGACUGAGAUACGGCCCAGACUCCGACGGGAGGCAGAAGUGGGGAAUCUUGCACAAGGGGCGGAAGCCUGAUGCAGAAACGCCGCGUGCGGGAUGACGGCCUUAGGGUUGAAAACCGAUUUCAGCAGUGGCGAAGCUUGUGGUGACGGUACCUGCAGAAGAAGCACCGGCUAACUACGUG